CAAGUACUCCCUCCGUACGGAAUUACUUGUCAUCAAAAUGGAUGUGUCUAGAACUAAAAUACAUCUGGAUAAAUCCAUUUCAAUGACAAGUAUUUUCGGACGGAGGGAUUACAAG
rfam:Triticum aestivum genome assembly, contig: Triticum_aestivum_CS42_TGACv1_scaffold_221274_3B